CGUUCACAUUCGUCCACCGGACCACCAUUAUUGAUUUAUAGCUUCAGCCCUCAGAGUAAUACGUGCUCAAAUGGAACCGGCUAUGGGCAUUGAUCUGAUGAAGCUGGCCUUAUACAAAGCAGCUGUGGAGGGUAAACCUGAAGAUUACUAUAAGGCUCUAGGGCAGCAGAGCACGAUGGCAGUGGAAGAUGAUGGCCUCCAGGUUAUGCCAAAUGGGAAUACUGUGCUACAUGUUGCAGCGCUCUACGGCCGCCAACAUUUUGUGGAAAACAUACUACUAGGGAAAGAUAAUCAUGCUGCAGCCUUGUGUUUGUUAUUUGCUCAAAAUAAGAAAAACAAAAGUGCGUUACAUUGUGCAGCAAAGGAAGACCAUGCCAACAUAGUCUCUAUCAUCAUUAGUGCCACCAAGAAUGUAAAAUCUGGUGUGGGAGUGAGGGAGAUGGUACAGAUGACAGAUAAUAUGAUGAAUACUGCCUUGCACAAGGCCGUGCGAAUGGGGCAUUUAGAAGUGGUGAAGGAUUUGUUGGUUGAGGAGGAUGAUGAAUUUGUAUACCCUCCUAAUAAUGCUGGGGAGACACCCAUUUACUUAGCAGCAAGGUUAGGAUUCCUUGAUUGUUUGCAGCAACUCCUGAACACAUAUAAAUAUCCUAAAAACGGGUAUAAUGAAGUUGCCACGGUAUUUCACAUAGCAGCAAGGCAUGGGAACGUUGAAAUGAUGAAAUACAUAUCAAAUAGCUUCCCAGAUUGUUUAUAGCAAAUUCCAAAAUAUCCUUCAUGAAGGAGUAUUGGGACAAAGAUUGAAUGCGAUAGAAUAUGUUUUGAAGUAUCCCCAAGUGGACAACCUUAUUGAGGGUAAAGACGAGGAUGGCAACACACUGUUGGCCCUACUUUCCAUUUGUAGGUGCAGGCCUUUGAAACGUGUUGCUAUGCAGGGUCUUAUGUGGAAGCAUUUGGUCUUUAAUAAACAACACCAAACUCCAUUUGCCAUGGCCUUCCAAAACAGAACGUUGGCAUUUUCUAAGUAUUUCUUAGCUUGGGAACUUGUAAGGAGCGGUGGUAAAAUUGGUUGUCAAAGUGGAGUUACAGAAAAUAAGACAGAGAUGAAAGAAUAUGUUGGUACAGAAAGGAAUAUUACAAGUCGAACAUAUAUACUUGUGGCUUCACUGAUCUUAAUUGUGACCUUUAUAGCGGGUUUAACAGUCCCAGGAGGAUACAACAGCAAUCUUGGAAAAGCACAAAUGAUUGCAGAAGCCUAGUCUAUGAAGAACUACAAAUAUGCCAAAAGAUAUUUUGGAUUGAGCCAAGCUUUGGUCUUGCACUCUGUCGUGCUUGCUAUAGGUGCAUUCUUAGCUGGGAUGUCUGC